UAUACAUAACAUAUAACAACCCAUAUACAGUGAAAUCUGUCAAAUUCGGACUCUUUGUAAACCGGUUUUCUCCUUAAUCCGGACUACUCUCUGAGUCCCGGCAAAUUUUUUCUUAAUUUAUCACUAAAGCUUGCUUUAUAAUCCGGACUCUCUCAAUUACGGAUUACGGACUCACAUAACAGACCCGACAAUCAAUUUGCUAUGAGAACAAUCCUUUGUAAUCCGGACGUAGCUGGCUAAAAUAACUGAAAGGACAAAUAAAGGAACACAGGAAAAUUAAAGUGUUCCUUUAAUAUUUUUCAGUAUUCAUCACCAGCUUUGAAGAGCGCUGUGUGAGGAAAAUCUGAGAAUAAAUAAAGGAACACUGCCAUGAAGUGGUGUUCCCCUAUUUGUUUCCCUCC